AACGAACGCUGGCGGCAGGCUUAACACAUGCAAGACGAGCGCAUCCUUCGGGGUGAGCGGCAGACGGGUGAGUAACGCGUGGGAACGUACCCUUUCCUACGGAAUAGCUCCGGGAAACUGGAAUUAAUACCGUAUACGCCCUUAGGGGGAAAGAUUUAUCGGGGAAGGAUCGGCCCGCGUUGGAUUAGCUAGUUGGUGGGGUAAAGGCCUACCAAGGCGACGAUCCAUAGCUGGUCUGAGAGGAUGAUCAGCCACAUUGGGACUGAGACACGGCCCAAACUCCUACGGGAGGCAGCAGUGGGAAUAUUGGACAAUGGGCGCAAGCCUGAUCCAGCCAUGCCGCGUGAGUGAUGAAGGCCUUAGGGUUGUAAAGCUCUUUCAGUAGGAAAGAUAAUGACGGUACCUACAGAAGAAGCCCCGGCUAACUUCGUGCCAGCCGCCGCCGUAA
rnacentral:rRNA from 1 species